rnacentral:rRNA from 1 species
AUGCCAGUGUGUGUUGAUGUGCAGGAAGGCGGACUUGGCAUUCGCGACCUCCGGCGGCAAAACAUGCGCCUUCUUCUCAACUUCAUCGACGCUCUUCACCGGCCUGGGUCCCCGCCUUGGAAGCUUUGGUUCCUCCGUAACGUCAGGGGUGACGUUGGGGACCCCUGCUCGGCGCCCUCGUUCCUCCAGACGAUCAUGCAGGCGGCGCUCCCGACCUACCGAUCCAUCACUCGGGUGCAGCUUGGAGACGGGCGCACCACCUCCUUCUGGCAGGAUCGGUGGCUCCCAGGCGGCGCGCUCUGCUUCACCUUCGAGGCGCUCUUCUCCCACUCGACGCGGCCCAACGCCUCGGUCGCUGCAGUUAUCCAGGGCGGCCUCGCGCUCCAGCCGAGGCUCUCCGCAGUGGCGGCCGGUCAGCUCAGUGUCGUGCAUGCACUCUUGCGCGAUGUUCAUCUGUUGGGUGUGCAUGAUCAUCGCUUCAUGGCGUGGGGAGGUGACCUUACCUUCAGCUCCCGAGCUGCUUUUCGUGUUCUGUCGCCUCACGGCGUGCUCGACCAGGACUCCAUCGACAUCUGGGGCUCCAGGCUCCCUAGCAAAAUCAAGAUUUUCGCGAGGCUACUGGUCGGCAAUCGGCUUAGCACUCGGGCUAACUUGUACGCCAAAAACUGCGCCUCUUCUCCAACAUGUGCCUCCUGCCAGGCGGAGGAAACGGCGGACCACCUCUUCGCUGCAUGUCCUCGUGUGGCUCCGGUCUGGGCUAGGCUUGGCCUGGGCACCUUCUACUCCGUUGGUGAAAUUCUCUCUACUCAACCCUCGCUGCAAAUUGAUGCUGCUGCCUGGAAAGAUGGCCUCUACAUCCUGAUGUGGAGCGUGUGGAAAGCCAGGAACGAUGUGGUCUUCAACUCCAUCAUAUGCGGGACUUGCGACGUCCUCCGGCGAGCAGCCGACGAUACGCUUCUGUGGUCCAAGCGCUUUGAGACUGGACCGAGGGAGCAGCUCCUCCUGUUUCGCUCCUUCCUUUUCUCAGCCACCUAG